rnacentral:rRNA from 1 species
UGGGGGAUAUUGCACAAUGGGGGGAACCCUGAUGCAGCGACGCCGCGUGAAGGAAGAAGUAUUUCGGUAUGUAAACUUCUAUCAGCAGGGAAGAAAAAAGACGGUACCUGACUAAGAAGCCCCGGCUAACUACGUGCCAGCAGCCGCGGUAAUACGUAGGGGGCAAGCGUUAUCCGGAUUUACUGGGUGUAAAGGGAGCGUAGGCGGCUAAACAAGUCAGAUGUGAAAAUUUCGGGCUCAACCCGAAACCUGCAUUUGAAACUGUAAAGCUAGAGUAUCGGAGAGGUAAGUGGAAUUCCUAGUGUAGCGGUGAAAUGCGUAGAUAUUAGGAGGAACACCAGUGGCGAAGGCGACUUACUGGACGAAGACUGACGCUGAGGCUCGAAAGCGUGGGGAGCAAACAGG